rnacentral:rRNA from 1 species
ACUAAUAGUUAAGUUCUUUAAACCCAAAGAAUUUGGCGGUAUUUCAUUCCGUUCAGAGGAACCUAUCUUGUAAUUGAUAGUACACGAUUUACUUUACUUAAUUUAUUUGUUUGUAUAUCUCCGUUAUCAGAAAAUCUUUUUGGAGUUAUAAUUUUCUUGUUUUUUUAUUGAGAAUUAUUUCAGGUCAAGGUGCAGCUUAUAAUUAAGUUUUUGACGGGUUACAAUAAUUUUUUAUUAUAUGGAUUUUUUUUUGUAAUAUAUUAAUGAAGGUGGAUUUGAAGGUAAUUUGAUUUAUUUAAUU